rnacentral:rRNA from 1 species
CCUACGGGUGGCUGCAGUGAGGAAUAUUGGUCAAUGGGCGCGAGCCUGAACCAGCCAAGUAGCGUGAAGGAUGACUGCCCUACGGGUUGUAAACUUCGUUUAUAAGGGAAUAAAGUGCGGCACGUGUGCCUUUUUGUAUGUACUUUAUGAAUAAGGAUAGGCCAACUCCGUGCCAGCAGCCGCGGUAAUACGGAGGAGCCGAGCUUUAAGCGGAUUUAUUGGGUUUAAAGGGAGCGUAGAUGGGUUGUUAAGUCAGGUGUGAAAGUUUGCGGCUCAACCGUAAAAUUGCAAUUGAUACUGGCAGUCUUGAGUGCAGUUGAGGUAGGCGGAAUUCGUGGUGUAGCGGUGAAAUGCGUAGAUAUCACGAAGAACUCCGAUUGCGAAGGCAGCUUACUAAACUGCAACUGACAUUGAUGCGCGAAAGUGUGGGUAUCAAACAGGAUUAGAUACCCUGGUAGUC